GAAGAAGGCCUUUCGGGUUGUAAAGUACUUUCAGCAGUGAGGAAGGUGGUAGUGUUAAUAGCACUAUCAUUUGACGUUAGCUGCAGAAGAAGCACCGGCUAACUCCGUGCCAGCAGCCGCGGUAAUACGGAGGGUGCGAGCGUUAAUCGGAAUUACUGGGCGUAAAGCGCAUGCAGGUGGUUUGUUAAGUCAGAUGUGAAAGCCCGGGGCUCAACCUUGGAAUUGCAUUUGAAACUGGCAGACUAGAGUACUGUAGAGGGGGGUAGAAUUUCAGGUGUAGCGGUGAAAUGCGUAGAGAUCUGAAGGAAUACCGGUGGCGAAGGCGGCCCCCUGGACAGAUACUGACACUCAGAUGCGAAAGCGUGGGGAGCAAACAGGAUUAGAUACCCUGGUAGUCCACGCCGUAAACGAUGUCUACUUGGAGGUUGUGGCCUUGAGCCGUGGCUUUCGGAGCUAACGCGUUAAGUAGACCGCCUGGGGAGUACGGUCGCAAGAUUAAAACUCAAAUGAAUUGACGGGGGCCCGCACAAGCGGUGGAGCAUGUGGUUUAAUUCGAUGCAACGCGAAGAACCUUACCUACUCUUGACAUCCACAGAACUUUCCAGAGACGGUUUGGUGCCUUCGGGAACUGUGAGACAGGUGCUGCAUGGCUGUCGUCAGCUCGUGUUGUGAAAUGUUGGGUUAAGUCCCGCAACGAGCGCAACCCUUAUCCUUGUUUGCCAGCGAGUAAUGUCGGGAACUCCAGGGAGACUGCCGGUGAUAAACCGGAGGAAGGUGGGGACGACGUCAAGUCAUCAUGGCCCUUACGAGUAGGGCUACACACGUGCUACAAUGGCGCAUACAGAGGGCGGCCAACUUGCGAAAGUGAGCGAAUCCCAAAAAGUGCGUCGUAGUCCGGAUUGGAGUCUGCAACUCGACUCCAUGAAGUCGGAAUCGCUAGUAAUCGUAGAUCAGAAUGCUACGGUGAAUACGUUCCCGGGCCUUGUACACACCGCCCGUCACACCAUGGGAGUGGGCUGCAAAAGAAGUGGGUAG
rnacentral:rRNA from 1 species